GUGAAGUUUUCGGAUCGCGGCGACGCCGGCGGUUCGCUGCCGUUGACGACGUGAGAAGUUCAUUAAACCUUAUCAUUUAGAGGAAGGAGAAGUCGUAACAAGGUUUCCGUAGGUGAACCUGCGGAAGGAUCAUUG
rnacentral:rRNA from 1 species